GACGAACGCUGGCGGCGUGCUUAACACAUGCAAGUCGAACGGAAAGGCCCUGCUUGCGGGGUACUCGAGUGGCGAACGGGUGAGUAACACGUGGGUGAUCUGCCCUGCACUUCGGGAUAAGCCUGGUAAACUGGGUCUAAUACCGGAUAGGAGCCAUUUUUAGUGUGAUGGUUGGAAAGUUUUUUCGGUGUAGGAUGAGCUGGCGGCCUAUCAGCUUGUUGGUGGGGUAAUGGCCUACCGAGGCGGCGACGGGUAGCCGGCCUGAGAGGGUGGACGGCCACAUAGGGACUGAGAUACGGCCCAGACUGCUACGGGAGGCAGCAGUGGGGAAUAUUGCACAAGGGGCGCAAGCCUGAUGCAGCGAGGCCGCGUGGGGGAUGACGGCCUUCGGGUUGUAAACUCCAUUCGCUAGGGACGAAGCUUUUUGUGACGGUACCUAGAUAAGAAGCACCGGCUAACUACGUG
rnacentral:rRNA from 1 species